rnacentral:hammerhead_ribozyme from 1 species
GAACGCUGAAGAGUCCCAGAAUAGGUCGAAACGGUCGUCCAGUGC